rnacentral:rRNA from 1 species
UGGGGAAUAUUGCACAAUGGGGGAAACCCUGAUGCAGCGACGCCGCGUGAGUGAAGAAGUAUUUCGGUAUGUAAAGCUCUAUCAGCAGGGAAGAAAAUGACGGUACCUGACUAAGAAGCCCCGGCUAACUACGUGCCAGCAGCCGCGGUAAUACGUAGGGGGCAAGCGUUAUCCGGAUUUACUGGGUGUAAAGGGAGCGUAGACGGCAUGACAAGCCAGAUGUGAAAACCCAGGGCUCAACCCUGGGACUGCAUUUGGAACUGCCAGGCUGGAGUGCAGGAGAGGUAAGCGGAAUUCCUAGUGUAGCGGUGAAAUGCGUAGAUAUUAGGAGGAACACCAGUGGCGAAGGCGGCUUACUGGACUGUAACUGACGUUGAGGCUCGAAAGCGUGGGGAGCAAACAGGAUUAGAUACCC